UAGGGAAUCUUCCGCAAUGGGCGAAAGCCUGACGGAGCAACGCCGCGCGAGUGAUGAAGGUCUUCGGAUCGUAAAACUCUGUUAUUAGGGAAGAAUAAAUGUGUAAGUAACUAUGCACGUCUUGACGGUACCUAAUCAGAAAGCCACGGCUAACUACGUGCCAGCAGCCGCGGUAAUACGUAGGUGGCAAGCGUUAUCCGGAAUUAUUGGGCGUAAAGCGCGCGUAGGCGGAUUUUUAAGUCUGAUGUGAAAGCCCACGGCUCAACCGUGGAGGGUCAUUGGAAACUGGAAAACUUGAGUGCAGAAGAGGAAAGUAGAAUUCCGUGUGUAGCGGUGAAGUGCGCAGAGAUAUGGGGGAACACCAGUGGCGAACGCGACUUUCUGGUCUGUAACUGACGCUGAGGCUCGAAAGCGUGGGUAGAAAACAAG
rnacentral:rRNA from 1 species